UUCACCCCACUCCUGUUCGGCUGGGCUAAUCAGUGUUCCAGUUAGCACACUGGCACACACAAUCCACCUCUUUAACCAUGUUGGCCACCACCGCAUUGCUGGCUUGGUGUUCCUUCUUUCUGGGAGUCUCCCCUAGUCCUAUUUAGCUGACCUCACAUGAGGUCACCAGGACUGAGAGUGCUAUUUCCACUCUCCACCCCUCUGCCCUGGCAUUUGUAAGUCUAGUUAGUGUUUUCUGCUGGAGCUGGAGACCCACACAAAUCAUGACCAAAGGAAAUAAAGAAAUCAACAAACACUUGAA